rnacentral:rRNA from 1 species
CAGGCCUAACACAUGCAAGUCGAACGAAAGCUUCGGGUCUACUGGCGCACGGGUGCGUAACGCGUGGGAAUCUGCCCUUGGGUUCGGAAUAACAGUGAGAAAUGACUGCUAAUACCGGAUGACGACGUAAGUCCAAAGAUUUAUCGCCCAAGGAUGAGCCCGCGUAGGAUUAGCUAGUUGGUGAGGUAAAGGCUCACCAAGGCGACGAUCCUUAGCUGGUCUGAGAGGAUGAUCAGCCACACUGGGACUGAGACACGGCCCAGACUCCUACGGGAGGCAGCAGUGGGGAAUAUUGGACAAUGGGCGAAAGCCUGAUCCAGCAAUGCCGCGUGAGUGAUGAAGGCCUUAGGGUUGUAAAGCCCUUUUACCCGGGAUGAUAAUGACAGUACCGGGAGAAUAAGCUCCGGCUAACUCCGUGCCAGCAGCCGCGGUAAU